GACGAACGCUGGCGGCGUGCCUAAUACAUGCAAGUAGAACGCUGAAGGAAGGAGCUUGCUCUUUCCGGAUGAGUUGCGAACGGGUGAGUAACGCGUAGGUAACCUGCCUGGUAGCGGGGGAGAACUAUUGGAAACGAUAGCUAAUACCGCAUAACAGUAGAUGUUGCAUGAUAUCUACUUAAAAGGUGCAAUUGCACCACUACCAGAUGGACCUGCGUUUUAUUAGCUAGUUGGUGAGGUAACGGCUCACCAAGGCGAAGAUACAUAGCCGACCUGAGAGGGUGGUCGGCCACAAUGGGAAUGAGACCAGGCCCAGACUCCUACGGGAGGCAGCAGUAGGGAAUCUUCGGCAAUGGACGGAAGUCUGACCGAGCAACGCCGGGGGAGUGAAGAAGGUUUUCGGAUCGUAAAGCUCUGUUGUAAGGGAAGAAAGAGUGUGAGAGUGGAAAGUUCACACUGUGACGGUACCUUACCAGAAAGAGACGGCUAACUACGUG
rnacentral:rRNA from 1 species